AGGAAGAGGAAGACCAGGAAGGGAAAAGCUAGACAAACUUUUAGAAAUUCUGAGAAGGCAAGAAUAAGGGCCAGGAACCAAAGUCUGUGUCCCCAGAGCUUAGUUUCUGUCCUCUUUAUCUGUAUAGGUCUGCCACGUCUGCUGCAGGGCUUGUCAACAGCCGAAGCAAAGAAAGGAGGAGAAAAUUCCUUCCCACGAGCACAGGUCCAACUUCAGUGACAGAUCUGAUGGCCUUGGAGUGGCUGAAGACCACCACCCUCCACAGGCCUGCGCCCAAGCCCAGCUAUCCUUUAUCUUGAGUGGCUUCCUCAGCAUGCUGUCUAUAUGAUUGGCAGAAACUGUAGUUGAAAAGGGGGCUGAGUGACUACUGGACUUUAUAUGAAAACACCUACUUGGGGCUGACUUUCGGACAAGGCUGAGAUAGGGGUGUAUUUAGCUUUGCUUUUCUCUUGAACCAUGAUUGGCUCUAAAACUAAAAAGAAAGCUAGAGAAGAGUCGGGGCCUUCCCCAAAGCCUGGAACCAAUAGCCCUGCCAAUGCUAAAGGAAAAGGCAAGGGUCAGACCAAUAAAGGGGGUAAGGCAGAACCAAAAGUAGAAUGGGGGAACCAGGCUGAGGCUAGGGAUGGAGCAGUGGCCAGGACACAACCAGUGGUUCCCACUGAGCCCAAGACUGUGACAUGGAAAGU
rnacentral:lncRNA from 1 species